CUGUGGUGUGCGUGGCUGGAGUUUUCCUAGUCCUGGUUGGGAGCUUCACUGCUGUGCUUCUGCUCUCCCACUCAUCACCAUGAAGCUCCUCAUACUCUCUGAGUCAAUUUGUGUCUCUGCUGUACUGGUCUCUUGUUUUGCCUCUGCAGUGAGCUCAGUUGAUGAAAGCACCAUUAUGGCUGAUAAAGUGUUCACUGAACCCACCAAAGAGACAGAAUCCACUGAGAAGCAUAAAGACCCUGAUGCAUACUCUGUGGAAUGUGCUAAUGAAAAUGUAUUAGCAUAAACAGUAGAAAGAUAGAGUCCCCACUGCACUAUUAUAUACAUUUUAAGACAUCUGGAGCUAAAUGAUCAAGCCAAUGACACACUCAUGAGGACUGCCUAUGUUCUACAAUCAAAGGUUUCUCCUGCUUCCCACAACUAACGUAUCCUUAAAUGACAGCCCAGCAUGAUUAUAAAGAUCAGCUGGAACUAAAGAUUUCCACUUUGGGACUACUCCAGUGUAAACUGAAGACAUCUAGACCAUCUGCUAGUGUUGUUGAAGAUAAGAAGUUAAUUUUAUGGCCUUGAAGAAAACACUGAUGAUGCCCAAUGUUACUAAAUGAUAGUAUGGUUAUAGAAUUAUUCACUAUAAGUCCCUGAGUGGAAAGUGUGGUUCUGCCUUUGUUGAGGCAUCCUUACUCCCAACAGUGGCAAAGGAGCAGUAGAAUCUGAAUAAAUUGAAGGCACUCAUAGUUGAGGCAUUCUUCUUUUUAAUUGUUAC